GUGAAUCAUCAAAUCUUUGAACGCAAAUUGCACUCUCCUCGGAGAGUAUGCCUGUUUGAGGGUCAGCCUAUAAAAAAUCGACAUCGUUGCUGUUUCAGGGUGAUGUUGGUCGGAAAUUGGGUCAUCUUAUAUCUUUUGGGUUUAAGCGACUUAAAUUUUUCUUUUUGGUUCCAUGAACGUUUCUAAGAUUUAUUUCUUUACAUGUUUAAGUUAUCGAUUUUUAUUAGACGUGACCAUCAUAUCGGUUCUCUUCCUUACACUUUCAUUAAAUGA
rnacentral:misc_RNA from 1 species